UACAGAGGAGCCAAGCGUUGUCCGGAUUGACUGGGCGUAAAGCGCACGCAGGCGGAUACGCGCGUGGGGUGUGAAAUCUGGCCGCUUAACGGCCAGGCGCCAUCCCAUACGGCGUGUCUGGAGCUGUGCAGAGGUCGGUGGAAUUGCCGGUGUAGUGGUGAAAUGCGUAGAUAUCUGGAGGAACACCGGUGGCGAAGGCGGCAUCCUGGACCGAGAUUGACGCUGAGGCGCGAAAGCCAGGGGAGCAAACGGG
rnacentral:rRNA from 1 species